AAUUAUUUGAUUAAAUGUCAAUAGGAGGUGGCCAUACAGUAAUUCAGAGCUGUCUGGAUAACAGGUUUCUGGAGAAUGGAUCCUUUACCUGUAUUAUCAAUUAGGAUGAACAUACACAUUUCUUUAAUCCCUAGCUGGAAUUGAAUCUAGGUGCCCAGUACUACAAGGCAGAAGUGUUGUCCCACAUUGAUAUUAAAGGAGAAGGAAAGGCAAAAACAAACUUUAGCUGUAAGCGUUGCCAAUAUAUGGUACAUAUAGUUUGCAGCAAGCAUUCCCCUGUUACUUUUUCCAACAACAUUUUUGCUCCAAUCGAUUUUUCAAAAAGUAAAGACAAGUAUGAAAAAGAUUACCUUUCUUUCUGUAAGAAAUCUGUUCAAGUAGGGCACACGCAUGCGCAAUAGCUUCAAUCCGUGCCCUGCGCAUGCGCACAAGACUAUUUUUUCUUCCCCUUGCUGCGAUGACGAUACGGUCACGUGACCCAGCCGCAUGUCAUCGCUGACCUCUCUGCCCCGCCUCAUAAAUCUAAGCCAAUAGCUGAGGCAGCUUCCCGGGGAAGCUUUGAAGCUGCUGCGCUGCUCUGAUAUUAUUUACAAUCUGUCAGUGAGCGAGCGCAGCAGCUUAGGAAGGGGGGCGAUACAAAAAGGCAGCCAAGGAUCGGGUCUGUCUGACUGAGGUCUGUACUAAGCCAUAAAGUCAAAUACAGAUUUUAUUUUGACUGACGUGACGUCAGCGGGGUCACGAAGGCAGUGCAUGCGGAAGAGAAGCUCAAAUUUAAAAUGGCGGCGCUAAACUGCUUUAACGGGAGAAACUUCCAAGCGCUUGUGCACAGAUUGAGCACGGAUUUAAGCAUUUUAACUGCAGCGUUUCAGAAGGGGGAAGGAUGGAGAACACAGUGAAGGUGGAAGCAUACAGAAGAGACCUUGUCUGGACAUUGAAAGACCUGCUCCCCUGGAUGUCAAUAACUACAGCUUCCACUCUAUAGUUGGACGAGGAGGCUUUGGCUGGGUGAUGUUGGCUUCUUUUAGGCCCAAGAAACAACUCGUGGCAAUAAAGAUCUUGACGAAGGAGUCUGAGAAGAACGACUGCCAUGCCAUCGCUAAAGAGGCCCGUCUACUGAAAAUCAGCAGAGAAUGUGCAUUUUUAUGCCAGUCUUAUGCAGUUUUUCAGUCAGAGCUGGAAGCCUUCUUUGUCCUGGAAUAUGCCAGUGGGAAGUCUUUAGGGCAAAUGAUUUCGCAUGAAGGAAAGCUACCAACAUCAAGAAUAAGGUUCUACACAGCAGAGAUGGUGGUUGCCCUCCAGUUCCUGCAUUCCAAGGGAAUCAUUCAUCGUGAUCUCAAGCCGGGCAACAUAUUGAUUGAUAAAGACGGCCAUAUAAAGAUCUGUGACUUUGGUAUGGCGGAAGAGAAUAUCAUUGGCCAGAGGAAGACCUAUGGCUUAGCAGGAACCCCUGGAUACCGGGCACCAGAGAUUCUAUCAUUUGAGGACUACAAUGCAGGCGUGGAUUGGUGGUCUUUUGGGGUUACAAUGUACAAAAUGGCCACAGGAGUCAUGCCGUUUUCAGCAGCAGGCAGCAUUCAAAAACAACGUUUGGUAAUUAUUAUGAAACCACCAACUUACCCAUGUGAUAUGAACGAGGAAAUGCUGGACCUCCUGCCUAAGCUUUUGGAAAUUAAUGAGACUCAACGGAUUGGACUGAAUGGUAACAUCAGGGAGCAUGCUUUCUACAGCACCAUCAACUGGGAAGAUCUGGAGAACCAAAGACUAGAGACCCCUUUUCAGCCAGGAAUGCCAUCUGUAGACGACUUUGAAGAAUUUCCGAUAACGUUCUCCCGCCAAAGCUCCAGUGAAAAAGACAAUCUGAAAGAUUUCUCAGAAGUGGAUCCCAACUGGAAUUGGCAGGAGUAAGGCAUUACCUUCGUUCUAACAUGGGACACCAUCUUUAGUUGCUGCCUGUAACAACCUGGGAAUAUUAACAUCAUACCAUAUUUGGCAAGCUCCACCCCUAAACAACCAAUCCACCUGUAUUGUCAAACCUAAACCAUUCCCUGUGAAUGUCACCUGGUUCUACCAUCAACACCAGCACCAGACGAGAUCUUUGACUGUAGCUUCUAAAGGAUGGAAAUAGAAAGGUACUGUGGUGAGUUUACAUCUUGAAUGAAGAGUACUUAAUAAAACCAGUUUACCCCCACCCCCAAACUUCUGCCUCCCUCCUAUUCCCUUACCCAUGAUUAACCCUCAUCCCAAGUGGCUCACGCCAGUGGCAUAAUAAUAAAGGAAGUAGACCCCAUGGCCGCGGGGGGCCUGGUCUACUUCCUUUAUACUGUCUCUCUCCUACUCCCUUAUCCUAUCCCUGAUUUCCCUCAUCCUGAUCAGUAAACCACACCCCAAACCUCUGUCACUCUCUUAUUCCCUCACCUAUGAUUAACUCCUCUCCUAAAUGGGCCACGCCAGUGGCAUAAUUAUAAAGGAAGUAGACCCCAUGGCCGCGGGGGGCCCUGGUCUACUUCCUCUAUACUGUUUCCUCCUACUCCCUUUCCUCUGAUUUCCCUCAAUCCUUAUCAUUACACAACACCUCAAACAUCUGCCUUCCUCCUAUUCCUUUACCUGUGAUUAACCCUUUUCUUAAGCAGUGGUGUAACUAUAAAGGAAGCAGACACACUGGCCGCGGGGGGCCCAGGUCUACUUCCUCUAUACUGUCUCCCUUCUGCUCCCUUAUCCCCGAUUUCCCUCCUUCCUAAUCACUACUAAACUCCUGCCUCUUUCCUAUUCCCUUACCUGUGAUGACAUUACUAUAAAGAAAGCAGACCCUGUGGUCGCGGGGGGCCCAUGUCUACUUUCUCUAUACGGUCUCCUCCUACUCCCUUUCCAGCCCCAUUCUCUAUUCUCUCCCAGCACCGUUCCUUGCCUGUUCCCAUUUUCUGUGUAUGUGUGAGUAUGUCUGUAUGAGCGCUGUGUGUGUGUGUGUGAGUGCUGUGUGUGUAUGUGUAA